CCCGCGAGACCCUCCACUCCGCGCAGCACCAGCCGCCAUCCCCGCCCGCCAUCUGCGCGCGUCUGGCGUCUCCCUCGCCCCCGCUCUCCUCUCUGCUGUCCACGCCCUCUGCUCGCGUGUCUUCCAGCCACCCGCGAGCAGAGCCUUCGCCCCCGGAUCCCACGCCCGCGAGCAGAGCUGCUGUCCAUGCCGUCGGAUCCGCUCCUCCCUCGGAAGGAGAAUCUCCAAAUCUCGCCACCAUCCCCGCCUACCAUCUGCGCGCGUUGGCCGUCUACCGGCUACGCGCAUGUGACUGUCGUUGGAUCCCAGGUCUCGCCCAAUUCCAAGCGCCCCCGCUUCGAGCGUCGCCCCCAACAAGACGUCCGGAUCUGCGCUAGCCCUAGCUCGCGAGGUCGACGCCGAUGGAUCCAAGGACACCAGCGUCGCCCCUCUCCGAGCUCCCCCAAUGGCCGCCGCGGGGAUGUUCUGCUGGUCCACACCAAGUGCGCCGUCCACACCAAGCUCCUCGCCAACGACUUCCUCCUCUUUUCCAUGGCCGCGAGCUCCGCUAGACACCGCUGUCUUCGACCCUGCUGCGCCAACAAGUGUUCGAAGAAGAGGGAAAUCGAGCGCCAGAUGGCCACGGCCAAGCUAUUCGCGGAGGAACAGCUCGCAGAGGUUGUCGCCCUCAAGAGAGGCAUCUUCGUGGGGACUGGUUGUUUUGCUGAGAAAAAAAUACCGAUCAUGGAGGUGUGUCCACACAUUUCUUGGCCUUGGAAUCUUUCUGAGCCUGCUGACUUGCUCUAGGCAUAUUGCUACUGAAAUUGCAAAUGGUCACUGCCUCUAUUGUGUAUCCUUUAGUUGAUAGAUACAUGUUAGACGUUGCUUAAUAUACCUCGCGAGAUUGAUUGAGUUUGCUUGCUGACUACCUAUGGUUAAUUACUAGAUACAUGGAGCCAAAUGUUAUCUGAUAUACCAGCUUCCAUCGCUUGGGUUUUUCUUGUUGGCUACCUGUAAUGAAUCAGUGGUUAGCACCUUCUGUUGGUUUAUCCAAGGUUUUUAGUUAAGUGCAGAAACUACACUUAUUUUUUCGCUCAAACAAGCAUUUAUAAGCUACCAGCUCCUGGCUUCCGCUUCAACCAUGCACAUAUCUCUGUCCGCAGAAUUUGACUACUCGGUUGGCCCAACAAUUGUAAGUUACCAGCUCCUUUUGUUUUGCUUGAGAAAAUCUGAUCUUGGUUGAAAUGUCAAUGUCAUUCCAAAAAGAGAGUAAAUCACUAACAAGAAGUUUACUGAUUCCUUUAUUAAACCAUUCCUUUCGUUUUAACGAACAAUAAUUCAUGUUGUUUGUUGAUAGGUUGGUCGCAUUAUUAUGGCAGGGGUUGUGGGGCAAUGAAAAUAAGUCAUUUGAAGCAAUAAGAACAAAUUGGUUUUAUGUGGUGCAUGUUAGUUGAGAAAUGGUAUUUGAAAAUUUUAUAGGAAUCCAAAAUCCUAAAUCCAAAUUGUAUAUUUAAUAAUUGGAAGCAGUUUCUCUCGGUAAACCUCAGCUUCGCUUCUUCAUGUAUAUUGUUUAAAAAAUGGUAGUUCAACAUGAUAUGAAAUAUUCACCAUCUUGAUAGGCCGGAGGAAGGAUAUCAAUAUUAUCAAAAAAGCAUUUAUAAGCUACCAGCUCCUGGCUUCAGCUUCAACCAUGCACAUAUCUCUGUCCGCAGAAUUUGACUACUCGGUUGGGCCAACAAUUGUAAGUUACCAGCUCCUUCUAUUUUUCUUGAGAAACUCUGAUCUUGGUUGAAAUGUAAAUGUCAUUCCAAAAGAGAGUAAAUCACUAACAAGAAGUUUACUGAUUCCUUUAUUAAACCAUUCCUUUCGUUUUUUAAACGAACAAUAAUUCAUGUUGUUUGCUGAUAGGUUGGUCCCAUUAUUAUGGCAGGGGUUGUGGGGCAAUGAAAAUAAGUCAUUUGAAGCAAUAAGAACAAAUUGGUUUUAUAUGGUGCAUGUUAGUUGAGAAAUGGUAUUUGAAAAUUUUAUAGGAAUCCUAAAUCCAAAUUAUAUAUUUAAUAAUUGGAAGCAGUUUCUCUUAGUAAACCUCAGCUUCUCUUCUUCAUGUAUAUUGUUUUAAAAAAUGGUAGUUCAACAUGAUAUGAAAUAUUCACCAUCUUGAUAGGCCAGAGGAAGGAUCUCAAUAUUCGAUGGUGUACAGAAGAGUUUACCGGUUGUUUCACCCAUCUUGUUAUUCACUAUCUUGAUAUUCACCAUCCUGAUCAGAAUGUGGCCACCAAUGGCCACCAUCGAGUUUUUGACAUCACACCUGGUAGGCAGGCACUGACCUCUAGACAUGCUGCCUUCCACAGUUCCACUCAUCUUUCUACCAUCCUUGGUUGCAGUCCUUCCUCCCCCCAGUUCCUAGAGCCCAGAGGUUUGGCGCUGCACAUCACUGUUCCUUCUUCAGUCCACUCAUGUAGUCAUGUCCAUGGAUGAGGUUUUUUCCUCUUGAAUUCAGUGGGACAACCGUUAUGUUGUGUUUCUUGGAAAAAUGUCUUUCGUUAGUGUUGGUCUUCUAAAUAAGCGUCACUUCAUACCACUUUGGAUCUGACUACUUAUCACAAGAAUGAUCAGAAAAUAGCAAUAUUCUUGGUCCUCACUUAGAUACAUGUCUGAAAACUUUGGUAUUUUCUGAAGAGUGGUCUGAAUCAGCAGUCUUACUUGUCCUAUCAGGUUAGUGCACUCUCAAGAAUAGUUGCUUAUUCUAAAUUUCGGCACACAUGAUUCUGUAGAUGGCUAGACCAUCUGGCUUUAGCUUGGGAAGCAGUUAUCCACCCCGUCAACAUCAGUAGAGUGCUAAUUCAGUUCAAAAUGCUGGGCUGGAAACUAUUGGACUAAGACCGGCAAAUUCUCCAAGUCUGUCAACUAAUUCAGGGGUUUAUGAGCAAUUCAUGCAGAAGUACCAUCAACCACAGACUCAAAAUUCACUUAGGUUGCAGGCAUCUUCAGAUCCUCAACAGUACAAGGAUCAGAGCCAAAAAUCCGUUCAAGGAACACAGGCUGUGCUGGAUCCAUAUAGCUUACUUGGAUGUUGAGUUUAAUAGGAAUGAAAGAGCCUGGACCAACAACUCUUGCUUUAGGGAUUGAUUUGACCUCAUUGGGGUUGAAUUUGAACUCCCAAGAUAAUCUUUACAAGACAUUUGGCUCUCCGUGGUCAAGUGAGCCAGCUGUAGGAGAACCUGAUUAUCAGAUCCCAGCUUGUUUCUCUGCAAAGCCACCACCAGCACUGCAAAAGUUUCACCCUUUGACACUAUUCUACAUCUUUUACAGCAUGCCUAAAGAUGCCACUCAGUUAUAUGCUGCUAAUGAACUAUACAAUAAAGGGUGGUUUUACCACAAAGACUACCGUGUCUGGCUAACAAGAGCGCCUAAUUCCGCACCUCUUGUGAAAACUCCACUUCACUCAAAACAUCUACCACUAAUGUGAAGGCCAUUUUUUGAGCCUGCUGGACUGGACCCCGUUGUGUUCUUCCGAUGAUCAAUCAGUCAAUCACAAAUUCAAACCAUACAAAUCAACUCAAUAUCUAGCGUGCUUUUGGAAGUCUGUUCAAGGGGUGGAGUGAGGAGAAGAUAUAUUUUGCUCCCACAUACAAGUACUCUUGCAAUUCAGAUUCUUAUGCUGGAGAGACUGCCACAUCAAAGAAAAAGAGGAGAACCCCAGCCUGGUGUGAAAGAAUACUAUGGCAUGGAGAUGGUAUUGCACAGUUGUCCUACUUCCGGGGGGAUCUCAAUUCUCUGACCAUCGUCGUGUUUGUCGGACAUUUACUGUUGAGGUUAAAAGGCUAGAUGGCCGAUCAAUGCGGCGCCCAUCAAACACCAACAUUAGAAUCGAUGCUGAAGAGUUGUUACCGACAAGAGACAAGCAUAACUAAGGUGAUCUAGAUGGAUGAAAUUGUCGACAAGGCCAUUAGCAUCAUGCAGGUUACCUCAAAGCAUCUCAUGUAUAUUCGCAAGGAGAAGCUGCACCCAGGGAAGGCAUUGAGUGCAAUAGAGGUGAAGGAACUGCGCGAAGCCCUUGAAGCGAUUGCUGAAGGUUUGGACCAAGAUUCACUCUUGUGCCAGAGUUUGGCGUAGUACUCGAUUACAAACUGUGUACUAUGUUAAUGUAAUGACAUAGUUUGUAUGAUACAGAUCGUAGUGAUGUUGUUUGAAGCUGUUUGUAUGAACUGUUUCCUACUAUCUUGUAUGAAUUAUGAUGUCUGAUGUAGUUUGUAUGAACUAUGUCAUAUUAUGUUGAAUGAAGCUAUUGCAUGCCCUUAUUCUA